UACGUAGGGUGCAAGCGUUGUCCGGAAUUAUUGGGCGUAAAGAGCUCGUAGGCGGUCUGUCGCGUCUGCUGUGAAAACUCAGGGCUUAACCCUGAGCUUGCAGUGGGUACGGGCAGACUAGAGUGCGGUAGGGGAGCGGGGAAUUCCUGGUGUAGCGGUGAAAUGCGCAGAUAUCAGGAGGAACACCAGCGGCGAAGGCGCCGCUCUGGGCCGUAACUGACGCUGAGGAGCGAAAGCAUGGGUAGCAAACAGG
rnacentral:rRNA from 1 species